ACCUGUUGCGGGUGGCAGCGAGAGGUGCCCGCAACAUCAGACAGAACACCGUGCUUCGGGAACAUCGGGGCACUUCAGGGCGUU
rnacentral:sRNA from 1 species